rnacentral:rRNA from 1 species
GAUGAACGCUGGCGGCGUGCCUAAUACAUGCAAGUCGAGCGAACAGACAAGGAGCUUGCUCCUCUGACGUUAGCGGCGGACGGGUGAGUAACACGUGGAUAACCUACCUAUAAGACUGGGAUAACUUCGGGAAACCGGAGCUAAUACCGGAUAAUAUAUUGAACCGCAUGGUUCAAUAGUGAAAGACGGUUUUGCUGUCACUUAUAGAUGGAUCCGCGCCGCAUUAGCUAGUUGGUAAGGUAACGGCUUACCAAGGCAACGAUGCGUAGCCGACCUGAGAGGGUGAUCGGCCACACUGGAACUGAGACACGGUCCAGACUCCUACGGGAGGCAGCAGUAGGGAAUCUUCCGCAAUGGGCGAAAGCUUGACGGAGCAACGCCGCGUGAGUGAUGAAGGUCUUCGGAUCGUAAAACUCUGUUAUUAGGGAAGAACAAAUGUGUAAGUAACUAUGCACGUCUUGACGGUACCUAAUCAGAAAGCCACGGCUAGCUACGUG